rnacentral:misc_RNA from 1 species
GCAGAGAGUCUCAUGAUGGAUGAUAAGAUUGUUGAGAAUGAAGUAAAAAGAGAGUCUGUUCCAUUGCAUGAGACAGUUAACAUUGGGAAAAGUGGAUCUAAACCAAGGUUCAUUCCUCCACCUGGCAGUGGGCAGAGAAUAUAUGAUAUAGAUCCACGCUUGACAGGUUUCCGUCAGCACCUAGAUUACCGGUAUGCACAGUACAAAAGACUGCGUGAAGAAAUUGACAAGUAUGAAGG